GGGUAACCUGCCCUAUGCUGGGGAAUAACCUCGGGAAACUGAGAAUAAUGCCCCAUAGUCCACCAUGCCUGGAACGGUUGGUGGAUCAAAGCCCCGGCGGCAUAGGAUGGGCCUGCGGCGUAUCAGGUCGUAGGGGGUGUAACGUACCCUCUAGCCAUCGACGCGUACGGGUGUUGGGAGACAUAGCCCGGAGAUGGAUUCUGAGACACGAAUCCAGACCCUACGGGGUGCAGCAGGCGCGAAAACUUGGCAAUGCGAGAAAUCGUGACCAGGGAACUCCAAGUGGCUGGGGUAAGACCCAGUCUUUUCUUGACUCUUCAAAGGUCUUGGAAUAAGGGGUGGGUAAGGACGGUGCCAGCCGCCGCGGUAAUACCGGCGCCUCAAGUGGUAGUCGAUUUUAUUGGGCCUAAAACGUCCGUCGCCUGUUUGGUACAUUCGUGGGUAAAUCAACCAGCUCAACUGGUUGAAUUCUGCGAGCACGGCCAGACUUGGGACCGGGAGAGGUGUGGGGUACGCUCAGGGUAGGGGUAAAAUCCUGUCAUCCUGAGCGGACCACCUGUUGCGAAGGCUCCACACUAGAACGGAUCCGACGGUCAGGGACGAAGCCUAGGGGCACGAACCGGAUUAGAUACCCGGGUAGUCCUAGGUGUAAACGCUGUGGACUUGGUGUUGGGAAGGUUCCGAGCCUUCUCAGUGCCGAAGCGAAGGUGAUAAGUCCACUGCCUGGGGAGUACGGUCGCAAGGCUGAAACUU
rnacentral:rRNA from 1 species